AUUGAACGCUGGCGGCAGGCCUAACACAUGCAAGUCGAGCGGAAACGAGUUAUCUGAACCUUCGGGGAACGAUAAGGCGUCGAGCGGCGGACGGGUGAGUAAUGCCUAGGAAAUUGCCCUGAUGUGGGGGAUAACCAUUGGAAACGAUGGCUAAUACCGCAUGAUGCCUACGGGCCAAAGAGGGGGACCUUCGGGCCUCUCGCGUCAGGAUAUGCCUAGGUGGGAUAGCUAGUUGGUGAGGUAAGGGCUCACCAAGGCGACGAUCCCUAGCUGGUCUGAGAGGAUGAUCAGCCACACUGGAACUGAGACACGGUCCAGACUCCUACGGGAGGCAGCAGUGGGGAAUAUUGCACAAUGGGCGCAAGCCUGAUGCAGCCAUGCCGCGUGUAUGAAGAAGGCCUUCGGGUUGUAAAGUACUUUCAGUCGUGAGGAAGGUAGUGUAGUUAAUAGCUGCAUUAUUUGACGUUAGCGACAGAAGAAGCACCGGCUAACUCCGUGCCAGCAGCCGCGGUAAUACGGAGGGUGCGAGCGUUAAUCGGAAUUACUGGGCGUAAAGCGCAUGCAGGUGGUUUGUUAAGUCAGAUGUGAAAGCCCGGGGCUCAACCUCGGAAUAGCAUUUGAAACUGGCAGACUAGAGUACUGUAGAGGGGGGUAGAAUUUCAGGUGUAGCGGUGAAAUGCGUAGAGAUCUGAAGGAAUACCGGUGGCGAAGGCGGCCCCCUGGACAGAUACUGACACUCAGAUGCGAAAGCGUGGGGAGCAAACAGG
rnacentral:rRNA from 1 species